rnacentral:lncRNA from 1 species
AAGGCAAGCGCCUUAUAAUAUUUACAUUUGACUGUGACAGUGGCGCCCUCUGCUGCCUCAAUAAUGUAGGCUAGCAUAAUAAAGAGCAGGUUAGACUUUUAGUUAUUGGAAUAUGUUCUCAGGGCAGCAUUGCAUCUUAUUGGUUCUCUCAGUCAUCCAAUCAGCGACAGCAGGAGGCGGGACAUGGAUUAUUUGAAUUUUUUUUUUCUCAGGACGCGGGAGACAUCACGCUAAGGAGAUCGUUGCAGUUAAGUUUGGAAAACUUGACCAACCCAAAUGAACAUCUUAGAAACACUGAAGUCCCAAGGACGUCAUCGUGAAGAUGUCCUUGGGACAGUUGGGCCAUUUAAAGUCUUUCUGGGCAGUUUGGAGGCCCUUGUAGGCCCAUCUGAACUUCCAGAUGAGGUAAUGGAUGCCCUAUUUUACAUAAUCAGCAGGAGCCAGCCUGGGACAGAGCCCAUAAAUAGCCAGGCUAUGCGCCUGAUUUUGGAAGGCAGCUCCAGGGCCAGGAGCACUUAUUUUCUAAAAAAAAACAUUCUUAAAGGAGCCAGUGCCAUCUUCGGGCCCUACUUGGUGGGAGAGUGCCACUGGACCCUCUUUCAUUGCAACUUGAAAGAGGGAACCAUUACAUACAUUGACUCAUUGGGGGAGCAUCCACAGCGUUGCUCCCAAAUCAUCGAAAAUUGGAGCUUAUUUGCUGCUAGCAGAGGCUGCCAAGGGCCCUGGAAGUUCAUAAACAGGGACCAUGACUUGCAAAAUGACUCUGUGUCAUGUGGAGUGUUCUCAAUAAUGUUUGCAGAAAUGAUCCUCCAGGGACAACAAGGUCACCUCCAAUGCCUCCCCAUCUCCCAAGAGCGGGAGAGACUUGGGAUUUUGUUGUUUAAAUCCCUUGAUAGUUCAGGCAUUUGUACAGUCUGCUACAAGAAGAUGUCAGGGAAGAAAAAGGAGACAUGCUCAUUCUGCUCUACAGAAAAGAGUCCAAAACCAGAGGCAGAAACAGCUGAGAUGGAGACUGCAGAGGCAGUUGAAGUAGCAAAAACGAAGGUGGAGUUUGUUGCAGAUACAUCAGAUGCAUUUGAAGAGGAGGAGACAGCAUCUGAGAAAAUGGAGGCAGAAACAGUUGAGAUGGAGACUGCAGAGGCAGUUGAAGUAGCAAAAACGAAGGUGGAGUUUGUUGCAGAUACAUCAGAUGCAUUUGAAGAGGAGGAGACAGCAUCGGAGAAAAUGGAGGCAGAAACAGCUGAGAUGGAGACUGCAGAGGCAGUUGAAGUAGCAAAAACAAAGGUGGAGGUUGUUGCAGAUACAUCAGGUGCAGAGGAAGAGGAGAAAGAGGAGGCAUCGGAAAAAAAGGAUGGAUUCUAUGUGGAUAGCCUGUUGAAGGUGGCGUCUUCAAAGAAAGCUAAAAGAGGAGUGCCAAGGUCUUGCUAA